AUUGAACGCUGGCGGCAGGCCUAACACAUGCAAGUCGAGCGGGGUUUUCGGACCUAGCGGCGGACGGGUGAGUAAUGCGUAGGAAGCUGCCCGAUAGAGGGGGAUACCAGUUGGAAACGACUGUUAAUACCGCAUAAUGUCUACGGGCCAAAGUGUGGGACCUUCGGGCCACAUGCUACCGGGUGCGCCUACGUGGGAUUAGCUAGUUGGUGAGGUAAUGGCUCACCAAGGCGACGAUCUCUAGCUGGUUUGAGAGGAUGAUCAGCCUCACUGGAACUGAGACACGGUCCAGACUCCUACGGGAGGCAGCAGUGGGGAAUAUUGGACAAUGGGCGCAAGCCUGAUCCAGCCAUGCCGCGUGUGUGAAGAAGGCCUUCGGGUUGUAAAGCACUUUCAGCGAGGAGGAAGGGUGGUGUGUUAAUAGCACAUCAUUUUGACGUUACUCGCAGAAGAAGCACCGGCUAACUCUGUGCCAGCAGCCGCCGUAAUAC
rnacentral:rRNA from 1 species